GCGGGGAUGCCGGAGUGGUCAAACGGGCUAGGCUUAGGACCUAGUGGCUUAGUGCCUUCGUGGGUUCGAAUCCUACUCCCCGCA
rnacentral:tRNA from 1 species